UCUUUCUUUCUACAUUUUCUUCUGCUCACAAGCAAGUACUUAGGUAGAAAUCACCAUCUUCAAACUAGUUUCAACAGAACAUUGAUUGCUGUGCCUAGAAAUAUUUGUGAAAAACAUUWAUUUCCUUGGGUUAAACUCCAGAUCUGUAAUGACCAUAAUGUUCCAACACCUGGACAAGGUGAAGCAUAACAUGAGCUAUGAAAAAACAGUGGAUCAGAAGAACCAAGAAGAGUAACACCRCCUCAUCUAAUGUGUCUAUUUGAAAUUUAAAGGCACAAUAUGUUAAAAGAAUCUGCUGUGUGUGGUCAUGCUGAUCUGCUAUCUACCCUGCUAGGAAGCAAAAAUGGAAGGCCAUCAAAGACUGUGUAUUGAUGGACCUCAAUAAGAAAUGUGGGCUUAAUUUAAAGAUUGAAGAUACUUUCCUGAUACAUGUGAACAUAUCACAAACUACCAAUAUUUUUGCACUGCAUGUGCUGGGAAUGGGUAUAAGGUAUGGGCUAAAAUGUACAAGGAUUUGGAUAUAUAAAGAUAUAUCGUUAAGGCUAUUUGUAAACUUUGUCUGGUAUUUACAGGUGGAUAGAAUAUGAGUUUCUCCUCAUGUCAGUAGUAACACCUGGUUUCUACUCCGGCUACUGUGUCAGUACUUCUGUUAUGAACCA